rnacentral:rRNA from 3 species
UACGUAGGGUGCGAGCGUUAAUCGGAAUUACUGGGCGUAAAGGGUGCGCAGGCGGCCCUGUAAGACCGGUGUGAAAUCCCCGGGCUCAACCUGGGAAUUGCGCUGGUGACUGCAGGGCUAGAGUACGGUAGAGGGGGGUGGAAUUCCUGGUGUAGCAGUGAAAUGCGUAGAGAUCAGGAGGAACACCGAUGGCGAAGGCAGCCCCCUGGGCCUGUACUGACGCUCAUGCACGAAAGCGUGGGGAGCAAACAGG